CAAUCAACGUCAGUAUUGUUGCGGGGUUGAUCAAGCGCUCUGUUACGCACAGACAAGUUCAACUUGUGAAGCGUUCAUGCCGGAGCUUUAAAUUUUGAAACAUACGUUCAUAGGUGAAGAUGUUCCGCAGAGCGAUGUGGAAGACACUUGGAUUCGUGGGCUACACCGUACAGUAUGGCUGCAUUGCACACUGCGCUUUUGAGUAUAUCGGCGAAUUUGUGGUGUGCUCUGGUCCAUCAAUGGAACCCACCAUUGUUAAUCAUGACAUUGUCUUUUCGGAGCGGAUGAGUCGUCAUCUCUGCAGAAUACAAAAGGGCGACGUAGUCGUUGCAAAAAGUCCGUUUGACCCAAAUAUGAACAUCUGUAAAAGAGUGAUCGGUCUGGAAGGAGAUAAAAUCUGCACAAGUAUGACCUCAGACCUGUUCAAGACCCACACGUAUGCCUGUGGACGGGGAGCAGGAUGCUGCGGGAGGAGAAUGGACUCGAAACAUUCAGCUCAUGUUGCAGCAUUGAAACCGAGCCUGAAUCUGAGAUCCCUGAACAGAUCCUGUAGACCAGGACUCUCCAGGAUCCCACCGUUGACCCUCCAGCUGAUCUCUGAGUGUGUUUGUGGCCAUCAUAACAAUCACUGGAGUUUCCAACCGUCAGAUGAUGAGAACAUCACCAGAAGUGCAGCUUCUCAGCGUCUUCAACUGACUCUGAUAUCGACUCCCAGGAGCAACUGUAUCACAGGAGGCAGGGGUCAGAGGUCACUGGCCACUUUAGGCCCGACUCCGACGGGCUCCCAGCUGGACAGUGGACCCCCAGCUCCACCUGCACUCCUCUGCCUCUCUGUUUCCCUCUGCAGUAGAUGCUCGGGCGGUUGGGAGUCGAGGUGGUGAGAGGGAGCGGCUCUCCUGCUGCCGCUCCCCUCCGAGGCUGCCCGCCGGAGCGAGGUGACCCAGCUUGUCGUCCGCUGACCUGUGAGAGAGACAUUAUGAAGUGGAUUCUUCCAGCUGGCACAGUGGGAAGUGAGCGGUCAGAGGCAGGAGGUUGGACCAGCUGUACUGGUGCAGAGAGGGGAAACCCAGACCAGCAGCAGCAGCAGCAUCAGCAGCAGCAGCAGCAUCAGCUCAGCUACUUCUGUUACACUGGUCACUUCAGUCUCUGUUCUCAGCACCAUCCAGCGACCAUUGAUAAACAGGAGGUAAAUGAAGCUUUUAAGCAGGGCGGACGGAAGAGGGGAGACUGUGGGGAGGGGGACACUGAGAAGAUUAAUUGACUUUCUGCAGAGCUUCACUCAUCCUCCUUGGACACCUCUGGCUUGUGAGUGGAUUUGUGUUUGGAUGACGCGAUUAUGUUGCCAUUACUGGGGCAAUUCAGAGUCGGUUCGGACCAGUGUUCAUUCUGCCACCCGGUGAUUUGGUCUUUGUUUUUUGACUUAGUCGUAAUCAUGAUAAAGUCAAUGGAAAUGCUAAAACUUUAGUAAUAAAUUUAAAAGAAAGAAAUUAAAAAACUUCCUCUUGUUGUUGUUUGCAAAUGCCAAAUCGGUGACACUUUAAAGUAUACAUCCAUGGCAGCCUUGACCUUCCUCCCCCAUCACGCCAACGUAAAUCCACCACCUGCAGCUGCAGCGCUCUUCCACUGUGACAGUGAUAAUCUCUGUGUCAGGAGCCGUCUGUCAGAGAUUGGUCUGUCUGAUUCACUGAGCGUCCGAGUGGCAGGUCUGUGACGGCAGUGCCACAGGGUGUCCGAGGAUUUUAUCUGCACUAAAAGAUAGAGACUUGUAUUUUUGGUCCUGGUUCGCUUUUUUGAAGAUAUGGAUAAAAGCCAACAUUUAUUUAUUUAUUUAUCUAUUUAGAUAUUUGUUGUUAUAGCUAUUUUAUCUAUCUAUCUAUCUAUCUAUCUAUCU